GUGAACAACGUGCCCCUAAGUCCGGGACAAACGCAGAAAUGCCAUAAAUACCGGAUGUGACCAGGAUGAUGCAUAUCAAUCUGAUUAAAGGGUUUUCGCUUAGGGAGCGGUUCACGGCCUAUCAGCUAGUUGGCGGGGUAAAAGCCCACCAAGGCGACGACGGGUAGGGGGUCUAAGAGGAUGAUCCCCCCGAGUGGGACUGAGACACGGCC
rnacentral:rRNA from 1 species